rnacentral:rRNA from 1 species
AUUGAACGCUGGCGGAAUGCUUUACACAGGCAAGUCGAACGGCAGCACGGACUUCGGUCUGGUGGCGAGUGGCGAACGGGUGAGUAAUGUAUCGGAACGUGCCCAGUCGUGGGGGAUAACGUAGUGAAAAUUACGCUAAUACCGCAUACGAUCUAUGGAUGAAAGCGGGGGAUCGCAAGACCUCGCGCGAUUGGAGCGGCCGAUAUCAGAUUAGGUAGUUGGUGGGGUAAAGGCCCACCAAGCCAACGAUCUGUAGCUGGUCUGAGAGGACGACCAGCCAGAAUGGAACUGAGACACGGUCCAGACUCACACGGGAGGCAGCAGUGGGGAAUUUUGGACCAUGGGCGAAAGCCUGAUCCAGCCAUUCCGCGUGCAGGAUGAAGGCCCUCGGGUUGUAAACUGCUUUUGUACAGAACGAAAAGGUUUCUACUCAUACUAGGAGCUCAUGACGGUACUGUAAGAAUAAGCACCGGCUAACUACGUGCCAGCAGCCGCAGUAA